GAUGAACGCUGGCGGCGUGCCUAAUACAUGCAAGUCGAGCGAACAGACGAGGAGCUUGCUCCUCUGUCGUUAGCGGCGGACGGGUGAGUAACACGUGUAUAACCUACCUAUAAGACUGGGAUAACUUCGGGAAACCGGAGCUAAUCCCGGAUAAUAUAUUGAACCGCAUGGUUCAAUAGUGAAAGACGGUUUUGCUGUCACUUAUAGAUGGAUCCGCGCCGGAUUAGCUAGUUGGUAGGGUAACGGCUUACCAAGGCAACGAUGCGUAGCCGACCUGAGAGGGUGGUCGGCCACACUGGAGCUGGGACACGGUCCAGACGCCUACGGGAGGCAGCAGUAGGGAAUCUGACGCAAUGGGCGAGAGCCUGACGGAGCAACGCCGCGUGAGUGAUGAAGGUCUUCGGAGCGUAAAACUCUGUUAUUAGGGAAGAACAAAUGUGGAAGUAGCUAUGCACGUCUUGACGGUACCUAAUCAGAAAGCCCCGGCUAACUACGUG
rnacentral:rRNA from 1 species